GAUGAACGCUGGCGGCGUGCCUAAUACAUGCAAGUCGAGCGAACAGAUGAGGAGCUUGCUCCUCUGACGUUAGCGGCGGACGGGUGAGUAACACGUGGAUAACCUACCUAUAAGACUGGGAUAACUUCGGGAAACCGGAGCUAAUACCGGAUAAUAUAUUGAACCGCAUGGUUCAAUAGUGAAAGACGGUCUUGCUGUCACUUAUAGAUGGAUCCGCGCCGCAUUAGCUAGUUGGUAAGGUAACGGCUUACCAAGGCAACGAUGCGUAGCCGACCUGAGAGGGUGAUCGACCACACUGGAACUGAGACACGGUCCAGACACCUAGGGGAGGCAGCAGUAGGGAAUCUUCCGCAAUGGGCGAAAGCCUGACGGAGCAACGCCGCGUGAGUGAUGAAGGUCUUCGGAUCGUAAAACUCUGUUAUUAGGGAAGAACAAAUGUGUAAGUAACUAUGCACGUCUUGACGGUACCUAAUCAGAAAGCCACGGCUAACUACGUG
rnacentral:rRNA from 1 species